GUGGGGAAUAUUGGACAAUGGGCGAAAGCCUGAUCCAGCCAUGCCGCGUGUGUGAAGAAGGUCUUCGGAUUGUAAAGCACUUUAAGUUGGGAGGAAGGGCAGUAAGUUAAUACCUUGCUGUUUUGACGUUACCGACAGAAUAAGCACCGGCUAACUUCGUGCCAGCAGCCGCGGUAAUACGAAGGGUGCAAGCGUUAAUCGGAAUUACUGGGCGUAAAGCGCGCAUAGGUGGUUUUGUAAGUUGGAGGUGAAAUCCCCGGGCUCAACCUGGGAACUGCAUCCAAAACUGCAUGACUAGAGUACGGUAGAGGGUAGUGGAAUUUCCUGUGUAGCGGUGAAAUUCGUAGAUAUAGGAAGGAACACCAGUGGCGAAGGCGACUACCUGGACUGAUACUGACACUGAGGUGCGAAAGCGUGGGGAGCAAACAGGAUUAGAAACCCCGGUAGUCC
rnacentral:rRNA from 1 species